rnacentral:lncRNA from 1 species
AUGGCCUUUAAGGGCUUGCGCAGCUCCCUGCAGCAGCAGCAACCCCGGUGCAGGGGGAGCGGAGGUGGCUGCGGCGACGCCGGGCGAUGGGGCAGGCGGCUUUUCGCCUCCGCCGAGCCCCUCGCCCGCGUGCAGGGCCGCUGUGCAGCGCCGGACUGCGCAAAGGCGGCUCAUGCACUGCCCUCUUGCGUCGCCGUCCCGGAGCGAGCACGGCGCGGCGGGACGUGGCCCCGCUGCUCCCGGGGCCUCGGCGCCGGAGGCAACGCAGGUGGGAGCAUCGCCCGGGCGCUCUCGGGGGGCCCUUCGGCUUCGCGGAGUUUCUCGGCUCGCCCGGCGCGUCCCUGCCCUGCCCGCGCUCCCGGCACCCGCCUCGGCCGCCCGGCUCCGUCGGCACGAGCCCCGCAGAAAUUAAUAGCGAAAAGGAGAAAAUCCUGCCUUAGGUAUUCGCACGCCCCAGUAUUUCUUUUUUUUCCCCCCCCCAGAAAGUCUGUAAUAAAACCUCAUAAAGCCGACGAGCGUGAGCGCUAUUUACGUAACAUUAUUACUGGCUGUUGGCAAAGGGGCAGAAAUGCAAAUACAGGUUAUAUAAAGCCCCGCGCGCCCUUGGCCCGGGCCGGGGAGGCUCCCGAAGGCGGCGAGCACGGGAGCGCGCUCCUGCCUCAUGGUUUCCUUCGGACCUUGUGUCGCCGUGGGGUCGUCCUCCCAAAUCCGCGCCCCGGCUGGACCCGGGAUGCUCUCAGGAAGCAGCACGUGCCCCGAGCCGGGGGGGUCCUCACUGUCCCUCCGGAGAGCAAGCCCGGAUGCGCGGGUGGAAGCGCAGCCUGCAGCACCUGCAGGAGCUGUGUGUUCCCCCCUGUUGCCCCGUUUCAGGCAGGCUGGACUUUCCCACCGUCCCCCAAACCCUGGGAUCACGUUUUUAUUUAUUUUCCAGAGACGGUAAUCGCUCCUAGCCCCAGCAUCAGCCUGGGGAUGCUGCUGUUAUUUGGCUGCUCUGAAAAUGAGGUGGCGGAUGCAACCACAUCCGACCUCCCUCCUGGCAUCCCAGCUAUUUUAAGUGCAUCUUCUCCGGGCAACUCUGCCUGCAAAACCGGGAGGAUGUCCCGCUGCCCCGGGUGGGAAUGGUGGGUCUCCGUGGAGGACCACAACUUGCCGCUUCCCAUCCUCGGAAAUCCCCGCUGCCCGAGUGCGGCGGCUGCCCGGGGCAGAAGGGUCUCGUCACUCAAGCCGGAUGCGUGCUCGUUCGCGGGGACUAAGCCGCCAGGACGCCUGGGCUCUCCCUGCUCCUCCACCCGUCCUCGCCAGCUGCAUCGGCCUCCUCUGCAGUUAGCGGAAUGGGAAUGA